UUAUAAGAUAAAUAAGUACUAGGGAUGUAAUGCACAACAUGAUAAGGAUAAUUAACACUGCUGUAUGUUUUUUUUUAAAGGAAUUUCUUUAUUUUUAUUAUCAUUUUUUAUUUAUUUAUUUUAUUUUAUUUUUGGCUGUGUUGGGUCUUCGUUUCUGUGCAAGGGCUUUCUCUAGUUGCAGCAAGCGGGGCCACUCUUCAUCGCGGUGCGCGGGCCUCUCACUAUUGCAGCCUCUCUUGUUGCGGAGCACAGGCUUCAGACGCGCAGGCUCAGUAGUUGUGGCUCACGGGCCUAGUUGCUCCGUGGCAUGUGGGAUCUUCCCAGACCAGGGCUCGAACCCGUGUCCCCUGCAUUGGCAGGCAGAUUCUCAACCACUGCGCCACCAGGGAAGCCCAACACUGCUGUAUGUUUUAAAUGAAAGCUGUCAACAGAGUAAAUCCUGAGUUCUCAUCACAAAGAAAACACAUUUUUUUUUUCUAUUUCUUUCAUGUUGUAUCUGUAUGAGUCAAGAGGGAUGAUCACCAAACCUACUGUGGUAAUCGUUUCAUGAUCUAUGAGGAUGGGGCUUGGGGGAGCCUAGAAGCCCUCGGAUCCAGAUCCUUCAGGGGCAGACCUGGGCCCUGAUCCACUUUGAUGGAAAGAAACUAAAGACACUGGCCAUUACCCCCUAGAUCAGAUGUCGUGAGGAUUAAUGAGUCUAAUUAUAGACUUCUCGGCUGCUGAGCAAACAGUCGUCCCCUCUCAGUAAAUCCGCCUGUUACACAAGCGCCAGCUCUGGGACACUGUCAGUAUACGCAGCCAACCCCCUGAUGUGCUGGGCAGCCGCGCCACAUACCCUUUACCUCCUUCAUGACACUGUUGGAGCUGGAGGUGCUGGAGGGCUAGAUGGAUCAAAGAAUGCUUAUUCAUUCAAUCAAUGCUCACAAGAGACGGAUGUAAAGACUGGAAGGAAGAGGCACAUGUUCUGGCCAUCCAGCAACUGAACCUCCUUCCUCUGUUUGGAGAAUUCCCUACCUUAAGAGAUUUUGGAUCGGAAGCUAGUGAUGGGACACAAAAAUUCUACCUAUCAAUGGAUGGCAGCAGUGGUGGGAAUGGCAAUUACAUCGUUUCCAGAGGUGGCAGCAGCAACGUGCAUUGCCUACAUCUGUGGUGAUGUCAUGGCAUCUUCCCUGGACCAGUUCUACAGUACGAUUUUUAAGCCUUGUUCCUGGUAGCACAGCCAACUGGUCAAGUUCUCUAGCCAUCCUGCUGAUUCUGUGGGCUCCCCAAUAUUUUAAAAAUAAAUUCCAUCUUUCUUAAAUCAUCCAGAGUCAGUUUUUGAUUGCUUGCA